rnacentral:rRNA from 1 species
CCUACGGGUGGCAGCAGUGGGGGAUAUUGCACAAUGGGCGGAACCCUGAUGCAGCGACGCCGCGUGGGUGAAGAAGCGCCUCGGCGUGUAAAGCUCUGUUAGUAGGGAAGAAAAUGACGGUACCUGAAGACGAAGCCCUGGCUAACUACGGGCCAGCAGCCGCGGUAAUACGGAGGGGGCAAGCGUUAUCCGGAUGUACGGGGGGGAAAGGGGGCGUAGGCGGGGAUGCAAGCCAGGAGUGAAAGCCCGGGGCCCAACCCCGGGAGUGCUGUUGAAACUGCGUGGCUUGAGUGCAGGAGGGGCAGGCGGAAUGCCUGGUGUAGCGGUGAAAUGCGUAGAUAUCAGGAGGAACGCCGGUGGCGAAGGCGGCCUGCUGGACUGCAACUGACGUUGAGGCCCGAAAGCGUGGGUAGCAAACAGGAUUAGAUACCCCGGUAGUC